AUUGAACGCUGGCGGCAGGCCUAACACAUGCAAGUCGAGCGGAUGACGGGAGCUUGCUCCUUGAUUCAGCGGCGGACGGGUGAGUAAUACCUAGGAAUCUGCCUGGUAGUGGGGGACAACGUUUCGAAAGGAACGCUAAUACCGCAUACGUCCUACGGGAGAAAGCAGGGGACCUUCGGGCCUUGCGCUAUCAGAUGAGCCUAGGUCGGAUUAGCUAGUUGGUGGGGUAAUGGCUCACCAAGGCGACGAUCCGUAACUGGUCUGAGAGGAUGAUCAGUCACCAUGGAACUGAGACACGGUCCAGACUCCUACGGGAGGCAGCAGUGGGGUAUAUUGGACAAUGGGCGAAAGCCUGAUCCAGCCAUGCCGCGUGUGUGGAGAAGGUCUUCGGAUUGUAAAGCACUUUAAGUUGGGAGGAAGGGCAGUAAGCGAAUACCUUGCUGUUUUGACGUUACCGACAGAAUAAGCACCGGCUAACUCUGUGCCAGCAGCCGCAGUAAUAC
rnacentral:rRNA from 1 species